GGGGCUGCUCCUAGUACGAGAGGACCGGAGUGGACGCAUCACUGGUGUUCGGGUUGUCAUGCCAAUGGCACUGCCCGGUAGCUAAAUGCGGAAGAGAUAAGUGCUGAAAGCAUCUAAGCACGAAACUUGCCCCGAGAUGAGUUCUCCCUGACUCCUUGAGAGUCCUGAAGGAACGUUGAAGACGACGACGUUGAUAGGCCGGGUGUGUAAGCGCAGCGAUGCGUUGAGCUAACCGGUACUAAUGAACCGUGAGGCUUAACCUUACAACGCCGAAG
rnacentral:rRNA from 2 species